ACUUUUACUAUUUUUGUUUUUAUUUUUAGGAAUACAAUGCUAAGACUGCCUCAUGUCAUAUUAUACAAUAUAGAAAAUGUGCGAAUUAUAUUUUAUCAUCCUCAACCUGUUACAGCCUAUUAAAUGCCAUGGAAGAAUGUCGUCGUCCCAUAUUUCAUGAACAUUAUGAUUGAUGGUGGUUUCUUUAUAUAUUUAUUCUUUUAAUCUACUAAAAUCACUUUUUAUACUAACAAAACGGAACGUCCCUUUCAAAUAAAUAGAAAAUCCAGAAAAACUAAAAAUAGAUUGAGAAAAGAAAAUACGCUGCACUUAAAUUCCAACUACAAUAAUAAAUAUUUGCAUAAAUGUAUUUUGGCACCAUUACAGCACAAACAACAGAAUUAAAUUCAAUUUUAUAGAAAACCAUAAAAAGCAAAAAAAAAAACAAA